rnacentral:rRNA from 1 species
GGACUACCAGGGUAUCUAAUCCCGUUUGCUCCCCUGGCUUUCGCGCCUCAGCGUCAGAAAAGGUCCAGUGCGCCGCUUUCGCCGCCGGCGUUCCUUCUGAUAUCAACGCAUUUCACCGCUCCACCAGAAGUUCCGCGCACCCCUACCUUCCUCGAGCCCGCCGGUAUCGAAGGCACUUCCACAGUUAAGCUGUGGGAUUUCACCCCCGACCAUGCAGGCCGCCUACGCGCCCUUUAAGCCCAGUGAUUCCGAACAACGUUCGCACGGUUCGUCUUACCGCGGCUGCUGGCAC